rnacentral:rRNA from 1 species
ACGUAGGUGGCAAGCGUUGUCCGGAUUUAUUGGGUUUAAAGGGUGCGUAGGCGGCCCUGUAAGUCAGUGGUGAAAUACUCUAGCUUAACUAGAGGGGUGCCAUUGAUACUGCGGGGCUUGAGUACAGAUGAGGUAGGCGGAAUUGACGGUGUAGCGGUGAAAUGCAUAGAUAUCGUCAAGAACACCUAUUGCGAAGGCAGCUUACUGGGCUGUAACUGACGCUGAGGCACGAAAGUGUGGGGAUCAAACAGGA